rnacentral:rRNA from 1 species
CUCAGAUUGAACGCUGGCGGCAGGCCUAACACAUGCAAGUCGAGCGGAUGAAGAGAGCUUGCUCUCUGAUUCAGCGGCGGACGGGUGAGUAAUGCCUAGGAAUCUGCCUGGUAGUGGGGGACAACGUUUCGAAAGGAACGCUAAUACCGCAUACGUCCUACGGGAGAAAGCAGGGGACCUUCGGGCCUUGCGCUAUCAGAUGAGCCUAGGUCGGAUUAGCUAGUUGGUGAGGUAAUGGCUCACCAAGGCGACGAUCCGUAACUGGUCUGAGAGGAUGAUCAGUCACACUGGAACUGAGACACGGUCCAGACUCCUACGGGAGGCAGCAGUGGGGAAUAUUGGACAAUGGGCGAAAGCCUGAUCCAGCCAUGCCGCGUGUGUGAAGAAGGUCUUCGGAUUGUAAAGCACUUUAAGUUGGGAGGAAGGGUUGUAGAUUAAUACUCUGCAAUUUUGACGUUACCGACAGAAUAAGCACCGGCUAACUCUGUGCCAGCAGCCGCGGUAAUACAGAGGGUGCAAGCGUUAAUCGGAAUUACUGGGCGUAAAGCGCGCGUAGGUGGUUUGUUAAGUUGGAUGUGAAAGCCCCGGGCUCAACCUGGGAACUGCAUUCAAAACUGACAAGCUAGAGUAUGGUAGAGGGUGGUGGAAUUUCCUGUGUAGCGGUGAAAUGCGUAGAUAUAGGAAGGAACACCAGUGGCGAAGGCGACCACCUGGACUGAUACUGA